ACUCCUACGGGAGGCAGCAGUGGGGAAUAUUGCACAAUGGGGGAAACCCUGAUGCAGCCAUGCCGCGUGUGUGAAGAAGGCCUUCGGGUUGUAAAGCACUUUCAGUAGGGAGGAAGGUAGUGUAGUUAACACCUGCAUUAUUUGACGUUACCUACAGAAGAAGCACCGGCUAACUCCGUGCCAGCAGCCGCGGUAAUACGGAGGGUGCGAGCGUUAAUCGGAAUUACUGGGCGUAAAGCGCAUGCAGGCGGCCUGUUAAGUCAGAUGUGAAAGCCCGGGGUCUUAACCGUCGGAAUUGCAUUUGAAACUGGCAGGCUAGAGUCUUGUAGAGGGGUUAGAAUUUCAGGUGUAGCGGUGAAAUGCGUAGAGAUCUGAAGGAAUACCAGUGGCGAAGGCGGCCCCUGGACAAAGACUGACGCUCAGAUGCGAAAGCGUGGGAGCAAACGAGGAUUAGACUA
rnacentral:rRNA from 1 species